rnacentral:rRNA from 1 species
CCUACGGGGUGCUGCAGUGGGGGAUAUUGCACAAUGGGGGGAACCCUGAUGCAGCGACGCCGCGUGGGUGAAGAAGCGCCUCGGCGCGUAAAGCCCUAUCAGCAGGGAAGAACAAUGACGGUACCUGACUAAGAAGCACCGGCUAAAUACGUGCCAGCAGCCGCGGUAAUACGUAUGGUGCAAGCGUUAUCCGGAUUUACUGGGUGUAAAGGGAGCGCAGGCGGCGCGUUAAGCCUGGUGUGAAAGCCCGCGGCCCAACCGCGGGACUGCAUUGGGAACUGGCGCGCUGGAGUGCCGGAGGGGUAGGCGGAAUUCCUAGUGUAGCGGUGAAAUGCGUAGAUAUUAGGAGGAACACCAGUGGCGAAGGCGGCCUACUGGACGGUGACUGACGCUGAGGCUCGAAAGCGUGGGGAGCAAACAGGAGUAGAUACCCGGGUAGUC